rnacentral:tRNA from 1 species
AAUUUUAUAGUUUAAUUAGAAUAAUAAAUUGCAAAUUUAUAGGUAUAAAAUUUUUAAAAUUU